CUCUUUUGCUACUGUCCUGAGGCAGAGGAGCUGUGAUGCGACUGGCUCGCUCCCUGUCUGAUGUGUUUGUUUUGUCUUAUAUUUCAGUAAAAGAGUCAAAGACCAGGUCGGUUGUGGCGUCUCUUAUUAUA